UUUUGUUGUUAUAUUAACACGCGCAUCACGUGUGCGUCGUAUAUACUCGUGUGCGUGUAGGUAAAAAUACUGGUUCGCCGCCGUCGCCACUGCAGCGUGUACUAAACGUACGGACAUAAAAACCUACCGGGUUAAUGAAAUUAUAUACUGCAGCAGUGCACAUACACAUAUAGGAAAAGUACAUAACCCUUCAACCCUGAAGGCGAUUAUGGGCACUGCGAAGAUAGUGGGAAAAAAAAAAAAAUGUAAUAAUAUCGUAUUCUAUUCCACGUAUUACUAUAUAUAUAUAUAUAUAUAUAUAAUACCGCCUAUGUGGACGCUAACCUUGGUGCGAGAACCUCAUAAACGCAGAAAAAAAAAACCGAUAAGAAAACAAAGAAGAAGAAAAAAAUGUUAACGUUUGAAGAAAACGCUUUGCCUCAUAGCAUUGGUAAAAUAUAAUAUCAUUAAAUGUAUUUUUAAUAUCCGAUACGAC